rnacentral:rRNA from 1 species
UACGAAGGGGGCUAGCGUUGCUCGGAAUGACUGGGCGUAAAGGGCGCGUAGGCGGAUAGUUUAGUCAGAGGUAAAAGCCCAGGGCUCAACCUUGGAACUGCCUUUGAUACUGGCUAUCUUGAGUUCGGGAGAGGUGAGUGGAAUGCCGAGUGUAGAGGUGAAAUUCGUAGAUAUUCGGAAGAACACCAGUGGCGAAGGCGGCUCACUGGUCCGGUACUGACGCUGAGGUGCGAAAGCGUGGGGAGCAAACAGG